UACGUAGGGGCAAGCGUUAUCCGGAUUUACUGGGUGUAAAGGGAGCGCAGACGGAACUGCAAGUCUGAUGUGAAAGCCCGGGGCUCAACCGCGGGACUGCAUCGGAUACUGUAGAUCUGGAGUGCCGGAGGGGCAAGCGGAAUUCCUGGUGUUGCGGUGAAAUGCGUAGAUAUCAGGAGGAACACCGGCGGCGAAGGCGGCUUGCUGGACGGCAACUGACGUUGAGGCUCGAAAGCGUGGGGAGCAAACAGGAUUAGAUACCCU
rnacentral:rRNA from 1 species